AUGGCCAUAUCACGUUGAAAAACCGGUUCCCGUACGUUUUCCGUAGUUAAGCAACGUCGAGUUUGGUCAUACCUUUAUGGAUGACCGUUUGGGAAUACCAGGUGCUGUAAG